rnacentral:rRNA from 1 species
UGAGUAACACGUAUCCAACCUGCCGUCUACUCUUGGGCAGCCUUCUGAAAGGAAGAUUAAUACAAGAUGGCAUCAUGAGUCCGCAUGUUCACAUGAUUAAAGGUAUUCCGGUAGACGAUGGGGAUGCGUUCCAUUAGAUAGUAGGCGGGGUAACGGCCCACCUAGUCUUCGAUGGAUAGGGGUUCUGAGAGGGAGGUCCCCCACAUUGGAACUGAGACACGGUCCAA